GGCUCUUUGAAAAUAAACGUAUAAAGAGUCGAACCUGCCCAGUGAAUAGUUUUAACGGCCGCGGUACCCUGACCGUGCAAAGGUAGCAUAAUCAUUUGCCUUAUAAUUGAAGGCUGGCAUGAAUGGUCUGACGAGAGCAAUACUGUCUCCUCUUUAUUAUCUAAAAAUUAACCUAUAGGUGAAGAGGCCUAUAUAAGAUUGAAGGACAAGAAGACCCUGUCGAGCUUAAAAGAAAAGUAGAGGUUAGCUAUCAAAAGAGAUCAGUAAACUAUACAUAGCUUUUUAGUUGGGGCGACUAAGGAACAAGUAAAGCUUCUUUUAUUUUUAUAGAUUUAUGGAUUCGGAUCCAGCAAAGCUGAUCAGAGGAAUUAGUUACCGCAGGGAUAACAGCAUAAUCUCCUUUGAGAGACCUAAUCGAAAAGGGGGGUUGUGACCUCGAUGUUGGACUAGAAUAUCCUGAAGAUGCAGACGUCUUCGAAGGUUGGUCUGUUCGACCAUUAAAAUUCU
rnacentral:rRNA from 2 species